CGUCUGGGGGAUGGCUCGGCUCGAGCGCCGAAGAAGGUCGUGGCAAGCGGCGAAACGCCCGGGCGAGGUGCAGGCAGCCCUUGAACCCGGGAUUGCUGAAUGGGACUUCCUGGCGGGGGGUAACCCCCGUCGCUCGCGGCAGCGAGUGGGAACCCCGGGAAUUGAAACAUCUUAGUACCGGGAGGAGAAGAAAGCAAUCGCGAUGUCGGGAGUAACGGCGAGCGAAACCGACUUAGGGCAAACCGAACCUGGUGGUGAGAGCCACUGGGGAUGUGGAGUUGUAGGACUUCCUCCAAUCUCUCGCGCGGAAAGCUGAAACGGUUGGAAAAUCGUGCCUUAGAGGGUGAAAGCCCCGUAAGCGUAACUGCGCAGGGUACGAGGGGGAGUAUCCUGAGUAGGAUGCCUUGAAACUGGUGUCCGAAGCUGGGAGGCAUCAACUCCCAACCCUAAAUACGACUCGAGACCGAUAGCGGACGCAGUACCGCGAGGGAAAGCCGAAAAGUACCCCGGAAGGGGGGUGAAAAGUGCCUAAAACCAGGCGGCGAUUGUUGGGUACGGCUUAAAAGAGUUGAUCCUCCCCGAAGGAAGCCGUCGCGAGGCGGUGGUACGAGGGGAGAGGAUCGGGGUCGUACCGUCCGUCUAGAAUCACGGGCCAGGGAGUUCAUCGUCGUGGCGAGGUUAAGGAGUUCAACUCCGGAACCAAAGCGAAAGCGAAGGUCCGCAGCCCGAAAGGGCAAGGGACUGGGUGUGAAUAGCGCCCGGAGUCACGGCGGUGAGACCCGAAACCGGGCGAUCUAGUCCGGGGUAGGCUGAAGCCGAGCUUUGCUCGGUGGAGGGCCGAACCGGUCUUGAUGUGCAAUUCGGUCGGAUGACCUUGGGCUAGUGGCGAAAGACCAAUCAAGCCCGGUGACAGCUGGUUCCUCCCAAAGCUGGCCGCAGUCAGGCCCAGCGCGAGGCAGCCGAUGGUGUAGAGCACCGAUUGAUGAGACAUGGGGGGAAACCCCCGGCUCGUUUGUCGAACUCCAAAGCUGUCGGCGUCGAAGACCGCUGGAGACAGGGUGCGGGGGGUAAGCUCCCGCUCCGAGAGGGGAAAAACCCAGACCGGGGUUAAGGCCCCUAAAUGCCGGCUAAGUGUUAACCUUAAAGGGCGUCCUCGUCCUCAGACAGCGGGAAGGUAGGCUCAGAAGCAGCCAUCCUUUAAACAACGCGUAACAGCGGACCCGUCGAGGGUGGGGGCCCCGAAGAUUCACGGGGCUAAGCCGGCUGCCGAUACCUCGGGGCAGCCGAAGUUUAGUAGGCUGAUCCGGUAGGGAGGCGUCCGGCGUGGGCGGAAGCUCGGGCGUGAGCUCGGGUGGACCGCGUCGAAAUGAGGAUCCUGGCGGUAGUAACAGCAUAGCUGGGUGAGAAUCCCAGCCGCCGAAGGGGCUCGGGUUCCUCGACAAUGAUCGUCAGUCGAGGGUUAGUCGGUCCUAAGGUGGCCCUCAACUAGAAGCCAUCGAAAGGGAAUCCGGUUAAGAUUCCGGGACCACCCAGGUACCUGUGGUAACGCAAGCUCAGCUUCUGACGCUCUGGGGUAGGUCGAGUGAGGUCGUCGCUUCAUUUAACCGUUCAAGUCCGGGGAGUUCCGUAAUGGAGAGAACCGGACGAAGGCGGGAAUAGCCUGCCGUUAGGUGGGUUCGGCCGAUCUCUGGAGCCCGUGAAAAGGGAGCUGGGAAAUGGGACCCUGGGUGACCGUACCUAGAUCCGACACAGGUGCCCCUAGGUGAGAAGCCUAAGGCGUAUCGGGAGACACCAGGCUAGGGAAUUCGGCAAAUUGGCCCCGUAGCUUCGGUAGAAGGGGUGCCUGCCUCGCGAGAGGCAGGUCGCAGUGACCAGGGGGGGCCGACUGUUUAAUAAAAACGUAGCUAACUGCGAGAGCGAAAGCUUGAGUACAGUUAGUGAAUUCUGCCCAGUGGCGGUACGUGAACGCCCGGUUCAACGGGUAGAAGCGCCGCUAAACGGCGGGGGUAACUAUAACCCUCUUAAGGUAGCGUAAUACCUUGCCGCUUAAUUGGCGGCUUGCAUGAAGGAAUCAACGAGCCCCCCACUGUCCCAGUCUGGAACCCGGUGAACCCACUGGCCUGCGAACAUGCAGGGGAUUCCCGAAGGGAAACGAAGACCCCGUGGACCUUUACUGCAGUUUGUCGUUGGGGCACGGUUGCGGGUGCAGAGUGUAGGCGGGAGCCAUCGAAGCCGGGUCUCAGGAUCCGGUGGAGGCGCCAAUGUAACACCGCCCUCUUGCGAUUGCGUUUCUAACCGCGCGAGCGAGACAGCGACAAGUGGGCAGUUUCGCUGGGGCGGCAGGCCCUCGAAAAGAUAGCGAGGGCGCCCAAAGGUCGGCUCAGGCGGGUCAGAAAUCCGCCGUGGAGGGCAAGGCCAAAAGCCGGCUUGACUGUGAGCUCACUACCAAGGCUCGUAGAGGCGAAAGCCUGGCCUAGCGAACCUCGAUGUCCUUCUUGAUGAGGGCUCGAGAUGACAGAAAAGGUACCCCGGGGAUAACAGAGUUGUCGCGGGCGAGAGCUCCUAUCGACCCCGCGGUUUGCUACCUCGAUGUCGUUUCUUCCCAUCCUGGCCGUGCAGCAGCGGCCAAGGGUAGGGUUGUUCGCCCAUUAAAGGGGAACGUGAAAUGGGUUUAGACCGUCGUGAGACAGGUCGGAUGCUAUCUUUCGGGAAUGUUGGGUGCCUGAGGGUAAGGUGGCCCUAGUACGAGAGGAACAGGCUGCCGGCGCCUCUAGUUUACCGGUUGUCCGACAGGGCAUAGCCGGGCAGCCACGCGCCAGUCGAUAAGGCCUGAAAGCAUCUAAGGCCGAAGCGACUCUCGAAAAUAGGCACCCAUUCUUGGUGGUUCCGCAAGGGACGCUCGUCCUGGUGACAGGGCGAGAUCCGAGACGAGAGCUGGGGCUAGAAGACCCCGUUGAUAGGCCGGGGGUGUAAGCACGGAGCUUCGGCGACGUGUUCAGCCCGCCGGUACUAAUCGCUCAAUU
rnacentral:rRNA from 1 species